rnacentral:rRNA from 1 species
AACGAACGCUGGCGGCAUGCCUAACACAUGCAAGUCGAACGAGACCUUCGGGUCUAGUGGCGCACGGGUGCGUAACGCGUGGGAAUCUACCCUUGGGUUCGGAAUAACUCAGAGAAAUUUGAGCUAAUACCGGAUGAUGUCGCAAGACCAAAGAUUUAUCGCCCAAGGAUGAGCCCGCGUAGGAUUAGCUUGUUGGUGAGGUAAAAAGCUCACCAAGGCGACGAUCCUUAGCUGGUCUGAGAGGAUGAUCAGCCACACUGGGACUGAGACACGGCCCAGACUCCUACGGGAGGCAGCAGUGGGGAAUAUUGGACAAUGGGCGAAAGCCUGAUCCAGCAAUGCCGCGUGAGUGAUGAAGGCCUUAGGGUUGUAAAG